rnacentral:rRNA from 1 species
UGGGUUUGACAUGGAUCGGGAGUGCUCAGAGAUGGGUGUGCCUCUUUUGGGGUCGGUUCACAGGUGGUGCAUGGCUGUCGUCAGCUCGUGUCGUGAGAUGUUGGGUUAAGUCCGCAACGAGCGCAACCCUUGUUCACUGUUGCCAGCACGUUAUGGUGGGGACUCAGUGGAGACCGCCGGGUCAACUCGGAGGAAGGUGGGGAUGACGUCAAGUCAUCAUGCCCUUA